ensembl:snoRNA
AAAGGGAAUAAAAAAAUAAAUAUUUUUUUAAAUAUUUAUUUCAAACACAGGCGCUAACAGCAAUGGGUACCUCAUCACCUUGGAGGACUUUCUGUGCCUUUCAAAGUGAAUUUAGAGGUUCUGCACAC